UACUGAAUAAGCUUAAUGAAAAUGUCUUAGAAAUAUCAAGAAUAUGUUUUAGUAUGUAUCCUUUCCCUUUUAGGUCAAUACGAAUGAAAAAGCAGACCUGAAAUUGAAGUUUUAAUCCUCCUUUUAUUCUCUUAUAGACACAAUAAAGAACCUAGUUGAACUUUGAAACAAGUAUGCUCCAAAAUGCCUGCAACCAGACUCACUCCAGCGUAUGGGACUGAGUAAAGGGCUGUUGCAGCUCAGAACCUGCUGGAAGGAAAAUGAGAAUCUUGGAUUUCAAAUAGCUGAGUUCAGAUCACAGAUAGCCAUUCGUGGCCAUGUGGCUUGAGAUUGAAUGGAAUGCCUACUUCCAGUCAAGUGGAAUAAUGGAGGCCAUGCUCACUCUUCUACUCUCAUAAGACAACUGAACAAGCAGACAAAAAUAUAUAAAAUAAUAUGGCACUCAAAA